CACAGAGACAUCCUUUUUGCCACAAGAUCCGUCUUUAUCAGAACCCGCGAUUUCUAUUGUUAGAAGCUCGUUUUAGUAAAAAAAAUUGUAUUCUCUUUCAGGUGUUCAGCUAAUAUCUUUGCAAUAGCCAUAAAGCUGAGGGGUUGACAGUGUAUUAUCACAUUAUUUUCUCAGAGCAAUAACGAUGUCAUUUCGUUUUUAUUUAUAACAGCCGAAUCCAUUCAAGCUCAAAUGUUUUAUCUUCCAGGAGAGCCAACGGCUGCUGCUGCUGUUCUCCUCCAGCUUCACGUCCAAGUCAGAGCGCCAUUGGGUCACGUCAUCUCUUGACAAAAUGCACAUUUCUCUUUGUUUCUAGAUGCUGCAGAAAAUCAUUGAUACAAUGACUGAGAAUCAUAGAGGAAUGUUUGCACCCAGUAAAGAACAGAAGACAGAAACCUACCCAGGAGAAAAGCAGAUUCUGAAAGUAAAAUUUGCUACGUACAGUACAAUGAUUGUUCUAAUGCACAGCACAGGCUUCUGCGGUUUAGCCCGCAGCGCCACCACGUCCCUUGGAGGAUGAACACUAGAGGUCCCCAGUAUAGAGGUCAAUGGCUACCUGGAUGAAAAGGUGAAAAUCAAAAAGCAGAGGAUUGGCGUUUCAGAUGGUUUGAACAGAAUGGUAUUUCUACUUACUUACAUCUAUGUAGAAUAUUGUUAGAGGCCUCCCUAUUGUGAAUACUACUUAUAUACCUAAUUGACACACAUAGUGAUGUGUUUUCUGCAGAU
rnacentral:lncRNA from 1 species